AUAGCGUAUAUUAAAGUUGUUGCGGUUAAAAAGCUCGUAGUUGGAUCUCAGUUCCAGACGGGUGGUCCGCCUACCGGUGGUUACUGCCUGUUCUGAACAGCCAGCCGGUUUCUCUUGAUGAUCUUCACCGGUUGUCUUGGGUGACCGGCAAGUUUACUUUGAAAAAAUUAGAGUGCUCAAAGCAGGCGUGACGCCUGAAUAAUGGUGCAUGGAAUAAUGGAAUAGGACCUCGGUUCUAUUUUGUUGGUUUUCGGAACACGAGGUAAUGAUUAAGAGGAACAGACGGGGGCAUUCGUAUUCCGGCGCUAGAGGUGAAAUUCUUGGACCGCCGGAAGACGAACAACUG
rnacentral:rRNA from 1 species